AAAAAAGAAAAACCUCUUAUAGCACGUGUGUGUAUACACCUGCACAAGCGCACACAACUCAGCUGAAUCUCAAUCUAGUUGUAGUUGGCUUUCUGGUUCAUUUCUCGUAUUCUGCUCAAUUUACACCCUGUUCGGAUUGAGUGCAGUGGGUUUAUUAAUAUGUUUUUAUUGUUGACAUGUUAAGAAAAGUGGUAUGAUAUAGGAUCGUUUAA
rnacentral:misc_RNA from 1 species